rnacentral:rRNA from 1 species
CCUACGGGCGGCUGCAGUGAGGAAUAUUGGUCAAUGGACGAGAGUCUGAACCAGCCAAGUAGCGUGAAGGAUGACUGCCCUAUGGGUUGUAAACUUCUUUUAUAUGGGAAUAAAAUGUUCCACGUGUGGGAUUUUGUAUGUACCAUAUGAAUAAGGAUCGGCUAACUCCGUGCCAGCAGCCGCGGUAAUACGGAGGAUCCGAGCGUUAUCCGGAUUUAUUGGGUUUAAAGGGUGCGUAGGUGGAUUGUUAAGUCCGUUGUGAAAGUUGUGGGCUAAACCGUAAAAUUGCAGUUGAAACUGGAAGUCUUGAGUACAGUAGAGGUGGGCGGAAUUCGUGGUGUAGCGGUGAAAUGCAUAGAUAUCACGAAGAACUCCGAUUGCGAAGGCAGCUCACUGGACUGCAACUGACACUGAGGCUCGAAAGUGUGGGUAUCAAACAGGAUUAGAUACCCCUGUAGUC